rnacentral:rRNA from 1 species
UACGUAGGGUGCGAGCGUUAAUCGGAAUUACUGGGCGUAAAGCGUGCGCAGGCGGUUCGUUGUGUCGGUGGUGAAAGCCCCGGGCUUAACCUGGGAAUGGCCAUGGAAACUGGCGAACUGGAGUGUGGCAGAGGGGGGUGGAAUUCCGGCGUGUAGCAGUGAAAUGCGUAGAGAUGCGGAGGAACACCGAUGGCGAAGGCAGCCCCCUGGGCUAACACUGACGCUCAGGCACGAAAGCGUGGGGAGCAAACAGG